rnacentral:rRNA from 1 species
UACGGGGGGGGCAAGCGUUGUUCGGAAUUACUGGGCGUAAAGGGCGCGUAGGCGGUUGGAUAAGUCAGCUGUGAAAACCACGGGCUUAACUCGUGGCCUGCAGUUGAGACUGUCUGGCUUGAGUGUGGGAGAGGAGAGUGGAAUUCCUGGUGUAGCGGUGAAAUGCGUAGAUAUCAGGAGGAACACCGGUGGCGAAGGCGGCAUCCUGGACCGGUAUUGACGCUGAGGCGCGAAAGCUAGGGGAGCAAACGGG